rnacentral:rRNA from 1 species
GAUGAACGCUGGCGGCGUGCCUAAUACAUGCAAGUCGAGCGAACAGACGAUGAUCUUGCUCCUCUGACGUGAGCGGCGGACGGGUGAGUAACACGUGUAUAACCUACCUAUAAUACGGGUAUAACUUCGGAAAACGGGAGCAAAUAGCGUAUAAUAUAUUGAUCCGCAUGGGGCAAUAGUAAAAGACGGCGUUUCUGUCUCUUAUAGAUGGAUCUGGGCCGCAUUAGAUAGUUGGUAAGGUAAAGGGUUAUCAAGGCAACGAGGCGUAGACGACGUGAGAGGGUGAUAGGCCACACUGGAGCUGAGACACGGUCCAGGCUCCUACGGGAGGCAGCAGUAGGGAACCGGACGCAGUGGGCGAAAGCAUGACGGAGCAAGGCGGAGUGAGAGAUGAAGGUCUUCGGAGCGUAAAACUCUGUUAUUAGGGAAGAACAAAUGUGUACGUAAAUAUGGACGUAUUGACGGUAACUAAUAAGAAAGCAACGGCUAACUACGUG